GCUGAGGCGUGAUGACGAGGCACUACGGUGCUGAAGCAACAAAUGCCCUGCUUCCAGGAAAAGCCUCUAAGCAUCAGGUAACAUCAAAUCGUACCCCAAACCGACACAGGUGGUCAGGUAGAGAAUACCAAGGCGCUUGAGAGAACUCGGGUGAAGGAACUAGGCAAAAUGGUGCCGUAACUUCGGGAGAAGGCACGCUGAUAUGUAGGUGAAGCGACUUGCUCGUGGAGCUGAAAUCAGUCGAAGAUACCAGCUGGCUGCAACUGUUUAUUAAAAACACAGCACUGUGCAAACACGAAAGUGGACGUAUACGGUGUGACGCCUGCCCGGUGCCGGAAGGUUAAUUGAUGGGGUUAGCGGUAACGCGAAGCUCUUGAUCGAAGCCCCGGUAAACGGCGGCCGUAACUAUAACGGUCCUAAGGUAGCGAAAUUCCUUGUCGGGUAAGUUCCGACCUGCACGAAUGGCGUAAUGAUGGCCAGGCUGUCUCCACCCGAGACUCAGUGAAAUUGAACUCGCUGUGAAGAUGCAGUGUACCCGCGGCAAGACGGAAAGACCCCGUGAACCUUUACUAUAGCUUGACACUGAACAUUGAGCCUUGAUGUGUAGGAUAGGUGGGAGGCUUUGAAGUGUGGACGCCAGUCUGCAUGGAGCCGACCUUGAAAUACCACCCUUUAAUGUUUGAUGUUCUAACGUUGGCCCGUUAUCCGGGUUGCGGACAGUGUCUGGUGGGUAGUUUGACUGGGGCGGUCUCCUCCUAAAGAGUAACGGAGGAGCACGAAGGUUGGCUAAUCCUGGUCGGACAUCAGGAGGUUAGUGCAAUGGCAUAAGCCAGCUUGACUGCGAGCGUGACGGCGCGAGCAGGUGCGAAAGCAGGUCAUAGUGAUCCGGUGGUUCUGAAUGGAAGGGCCAUCGCUCAACGGAUAAAAGGUACUCCGGGGAUAACAGGCUGAUACCGCCCAAGAGUUCAUAUCGACGGCGGUGUUUGGCACCUCGAUGUCGGCUCAUCACAUCCUGGGGCUGAAGUAGGUCCCAAGGGUAUGGCUGUUCGCCAUUUAAAGUGGUACGCGAGCUGGGUUUAGAACGUCGUGAGACAGUUCGGUCCCUAUCUGCCGUGGGCGCUGGAGAACUGAGGGGGGCUGCUCCUAGUACGAGAGGACCGGAGUGGACGCAUCACUGGUGUUCGGGUUGUCAUGCCA
rnacentral:rRNA from 1 species